rnacentral:lncRNA from 1 species
CCCAGCCCAUCUCCUUUCUUCCACACCCAUAGGGGACAUAGAGAAUAGAUAACUUGACUGGAACAGAUCCCAGCAGCACCCCAUGGCCAGAGUCCCUGAGAAAAAUUCACAGCAAGGAAAGGCACCCAUUUCAAAUAAUUAUUUGGAAUAUGAUGAUUCCUUGAAACAUCAGUGACUGUGCAAGUGAGCCUCUCCAUCUUGUCAUCUUUACAGAAAAUGUUGAGGUACUAGACAGGGAAUAUAAAUUUUCCAGUAUCUUUCCCUAUCUUCCUAAGUGUCCCUGUCCUAUAAUCCCAGUCUUGCCUCAUUGCUACUGGUGUCUUAUGUCCUCAGCUCAGCGGGGUAGAGCAUAGCGCUACCUAUAAGCAGGCAGAUAGGAUUAGAAAAUAAAGUCCCCUUCACUUAGCUCUUCAUCCACAAAGCAAACUCUAACCCUGGCCACUGACUGAGCACCAACCCUAGCCUAGAAUGUUCCCUAACCCUGUUCAAAGAAUGAGCCUAAACCUUGGUAACGGACUGCCCUUAAUAUCAUUCACAGACUGAGUAUAUAAUUGCAGAGUGAAGAAACUCCAACCUGGAGAGGUAAAGCAACUUGGCCAGCAUCACACAGAACCAAUCCUCCAUCCCAGCCAUAUACUGACCAUGAAUUUUAGCCACUAAGAACAAGAUUUCAAGAGUGUGGAUGUAUCAGUGCAAGUGACCUCUACCACUAAGAUUCCAACUCAGAGACAGGACAUAGCAAGAAGAUGGCCACCUGCAAACCAGGAAGAGUGUUCUCACCAGACACCUGAUCUGCCAGCACCUUGAUCUUGGACUCUUCAGUCUCCAGAACUGUGAGACAUAAACGUUCAUUGCUCAAGUUACAUCCGUGAUGUGGAUCCCAGAUCAAUACUUCAUGUGCAUGGAUUUUCAUGGCCCCUGUUUGUAACAAUGCAAAGUCAGAAACAACCCGAAGGUCCAUCGGUCAUGAAAUGCAAGCGAGGCUCAUAGGUGGAAGGAACUCAUUUCCAGAUGAGACUUUGAAUUUUGGACUUUGGAGUUAAUGCAUCAACUCCGCAAACUUGUGUUGAGCCCGCUUUUUGCUGGGCUCUGUCCUGGACAGGACCUGUCCCGGAUCUAAACAUUUAUAAAAAGCAAGCUCCUGCCCUUGGGGAUGGGUGACCUAAGACAGAAGAGUUGUUGAGAAAGAAAAAGGUCAGUGUGAGUCUUUGAAAAUAGAAGCUCCCAUAAAAUGUUAUGGAAGUCUCCAAGAUGAAUUUGAGGUGAUGAGGGCUUGGUAGACAAGAUGACUUUUGUGCUGGACUUUGAUGGAUGGAGAGAAUGUGGACAAGAAGAGAUGGGUAAUGAUAGGGAGGAAGGCCUUGGCCACUGAGCUGAGGAUAUUGAAUUCUACCCUGAGGGAGUGGGAGCCAUGGAGGAUCUUCAGAUUGGGGUGACAAUGAGGCCCAAUGGACAGAGCAUGGGCUUUUAAGUUCCCCAGACCCAGGUUUGAGUCCCAGCUCUGCCACAGGUCAGCUUGGACCUAGGCAAAGCCACUUUUUUUCUCCAAGUCUGUCUUCUCUUCUCCUGCUGAGAACCCUGCCUGUCUGCCAGCAUGAGAUGCUGGAAUCUGAUGGGAGAUUAUAAAGGG